rnacentral:rRNA from 1 species
UUUUAAUGAGAGUUUGAUCCUGGCUCAGGAUGAACGCUGGCGGCGUGCCUAAUACAUGCAAGUAGAACGCUGAAGCUUGGUGCUUGCACCGAGCGGAUGAGUUGCGAACGGGUGAGUAACGCGUAGGUAACCUGCCUCUUAGCGGGGGAUAACUAUUGGAAACGAUAGCUAAUACCGCAUAAAAGUUGACAUUGCAUGAUGUUGAUUUGAAAGAUGCAAUUGCAUCACUAAGAGAUGGACCUGCGUUGUAUUAG